rnacentral:rRNA from 2 species
GGGAUGCCUCAGUAACGGCGAGUGAAGCGGCAACAGCUCAAAUUUGAAAUCUGGGGCCUUCGGCUCCCGAGUUGUAAUUUGUAGAGGAUGCCUCGGGGGGUGCUUCGGCCCAAGUUCCUUGGAACAGGAUACCACAGAGGGUGAGAGUCCCGUAUCCGGCCGGCAGUGCCCUCCGCGCGAGGCUCCUUCGACGAGUCGAGUUGUUUGGGAAUGCAGCUCUAAGCGGGUGGUAAAUUCCAUCUAAAGCUAAAUACUGGCCAGAGACCGAUAGCGAACAAGUAGAGUGAUCGAAAGAUGAAAAGCACUUUGAAAAGAGAGUCAAACAGUACGUGAAAUUGUUGAAAGGGAAGCGUAUGGGGGCAGACUUGGCCGCGGGGUUCAGGGUGUCUUUUGGCGCCUGUACUUCCCCGUGGGCAGGCCAGCAUCGGUUUUGGGGGUUGGAUAAAGGCGUCGGGAAUGUGGCUCCCCUCGRGGAGUGUUAUAGCCCGUCGCGCAAUGCAGCCACCCGGGAUCGAGGACCGCGCUUCGGCAAGGAUGCUGGCGUAAUGGCCUCAUACGGCCCGUCUUGAAACACGGACCAAGGAGUCUAACAUCUAUGCGAGUGUUUGGGUGUCAAGCCCGAGCGCGCAAUGAAAGUGAACGGAGGUGGGAGCCCGUAAAAAGGCGCACCAUCGACCGAUCCUGACGUCUUCUGAGGGAUUUGAGUAAGAGCAUAGCUGUUGGGACCCGAAAGAUGGUGAACUAUGCGUGAAUAGGGUGAAGCCAGAGGAAACUCUGGUGGAGGCUCGCAGCGG